GCAUAUCAAUAAGCGGAGGAAAAGAAACCCAACAGGGGAUUGCCCCCAGUAACGGCGAGUGAAGCGGCAACAGCUCAAAUUUGAAAUCUGGCCCCUCGGGCCCGAGUUGUAAUUUGUAGAGGAUGCUUUUGGCAAGGUGCCGCCCGAGUUCCCUGGAACGGGACGCCGCAGAGGGUGAGAGCCCCGUCUGGCUGGCCACCGAGCCUCUGUAAAGCUCCUUCGACGAGUCGAGUAGUUUGGGAAUGCUGCUCAAAAUGGGAGGUAUAUGUCUUCUAAAGCUAAAUAUUGGCCAGAGACCGAUAGCGCACAAGUAGAGUGAUCGAAAGAUGAAAAGCACUUUGAAAAGAGGGUUAAACAGUACGUGAAAUUGUUGAAAGGGAAGCGCUCAUGACCAGACUUGGGCUUGGCGAAUCAUCCGGCGUUCUCGCCGGUGCACUUCGCCUCGCCCAGGCCAGCAUCAGUUCGCGCCGGGGGACAAAAGCUUCGGGAAUGUGGCUCCUCCGGGAGUGUUAUAGCCCGUUGCAUAAUACCCUGGGGCGGACUGAGGUUCGCGCAUCUGCAAGGAUGCUGGCGUAAUGGUCAUCAGCGACCCGUCUUGAAACACGGACCAAGGAGUCGUCUUCGUAUGCGAGUGUUCGGGUGUCAAACCCCUACGCGUAAUGAAAGUGAACGCAGGUGAGAGCUUCGGCGCAUCAUCGACCGAUCCUGAUGUUCUCGGAUGGAUUUGAGUAAGAGCAUACGGGGCCGGACCCGAAAGAAGGUGAACUAUGCCUGUAUAGGGUGAAGCCAGAGGAAACUCUGGUGGAGGCUCGCAGCGGUUCUGACGUGCAAAUCGAUCGUCAAAUAUGGGCAUGGGGGCGAAAGACUAAUCGAACCUUCUAGUAGCUGGUUUCCGCCGA
rnacentral:rRNA from 1 species